rnacentral:rRNA from 1 species
UACGUAGGGGGCAAGCGUUGUCCGGAUUUAUUGGGCGUAAAGAGCGUGUAGGCGGUUUGGUAGGUCCGCUGUGAAAACUCGAGGCUCAACCUCGAGACGCCGGUGGAAACCAUCAGGCUAGAGUCCGGAAGAGGAGAGUGGAAUUCCUGGUGUAGCGGUGAAAUGCGCAGAUAUCAGGAAGAACACCAGUGGCGAAGGCGACUCUUUGGCCUGUAACUGACGCUGAGGCGCGAAAGCGUGGGGAGCAAACAGG